rnacentral:rRNA from 1 species
UACGAAGGGGGCUAGCGUUGCUCGGAAUCACUGGGCGUAAAGCGCACGUAGGCGGAUCUUUAAGUCAGGGGUGAAAUCCUGGAGCUCAACUCCAGAAUUGCCUUCAAAACUGGAUAUCUUGAGUUCGGGAGAGGUGAGUGGAACUCCGAGUGUAGAGGUGAAAUUCGUAGAUAUUCGGAAGAACACCAGUGGCGAAGGCGACUCACUGGCCCGAUACUGACGCUGAGGCGCGAAAGCGUGGGGAGCAAACAGG